rnacentral:rRNA from 1 species
AGGAUGAACGCUAGCGGCAGGCUUAACACAUGCAAGUCGAGGGGUAACAGGGCUUCGGCCGCUGACGACCGGCAAACGGGUGCGGAACACGUACGCAACAUACCUUUAUCUGGGGCAUAGCCCGAAGAAAUUCGGAUUAACACCCCAUAAGAUUAUAGAGUGGCAUCACUUAGUAAUUAAAAUUUAAUUGGAUAGAGAUUGGCGUGCGUCCUAUUAGCUAGUUGGCGGGGUAAGGACCCACCAAGGCGACGAUAGGUAGCUGAUGUGAGAGUAUGAUCAGCCACACGGGCGACUGAGACACGGGCCCGGACUCCUACGGGAGGCAGCAGUGAGGAAUAUUGGUCAAUGGACGCAAGUCUGAACCAGCCAUGCCGCGUGAAGGAUGAAGGCGUUCUGCGUU